GCAUAGCCUGGAUGAAACGGGCUCAGAAGUUAAAUACUUUCCUCAGGAGCACACAGGUAGUAAGUGAAAUGGGUUUGUAUCUGAUACUAAAGCACAUUCUUUUUCUCUCUACCAUGUGCAUAUAAAUAAAGUGUAAUUUCCACAUGAAAAUAGAUGGCAUGAAGAAGUAGAAAACUAAUGGUAUCAUAAUCCUUAACCAGAUCUACUUGGCAGUGUGGGUUCAUUGAGGAAUAGAAGGAAAUCUGGACAUGGACACGUGGUUGGAAAGGGAGGACCUAGCAGACACCCUGAAAGGAUCUGAGACACUCUCAGGGGUCCUUGGAUCAUAUUUGAAAACUGCUGAUGCCAAUGGUUCUCUGAGUGUGGUCCCAGACCACCAGCAGCCUCCAGGAAUCUAUUAGAAAUACAGACUCUGGCUCAGCCCAGACCUGAAUCAGCAAGUCAGCCAGGUUGAUU